UGAGGAAUAUUGGACAAUGGUCGGAAGACUGAUCCAGCCAUGCCGCGUGCAGGAAGACGGCCUUAUGGGUUGUAAACUGCUUUUGCAGGGGAAGAAUAAGGACUACGUGUAGUUUGAUGACGGUACUCUGCGAAUAAGCAUCGGCUAACUCCGUGCCAGCAGCCGCGGUAAUACGGAGGAUGCGAGCGUUAUCCGGAAUCAUUGGGUUUAAAGGGUCCGUAGGCGGGCUAAUAAGUCAGAGGUGAAAGCGCUCAGCUCAACUGAGCAACUGCCUUUGAAACUGUUAGUCUUGAAUGGUUUUGAAGUANGNAGUAUAAAUGUUGUAGGCGGUGAAAUGCUUAGAUAUUACACAGAACACCGAUAGCGAAGGCAUAUUACUAACAAUUAAUUGACGCUGAUGGACGAAAGCGUGGGGAGCGAACAGGAUUAGAUACCCUGGUAGUCCACGCUGUAAACGAUGGAUACUAGCUGUUUGGUUGUAAGACUGAGUGGCUAAGCGAAAGUGAUAAGUAUCCCACCUGGGGAGUACGCACGCAAGUGUG
rnacentral:rRNA from 1 species